UGUAUCUGAAAGGGCCAUUUCAGUGAAGACGAGUAGGGCGGGGCACGUGAAACCCUGUCUGAACAUGGGGGGACCAUCCUCCAAGGCUAAAUACUACUGACCGACCGAUAGUGAACCAGUACCGUGAGGGAAAGGCGAAAAGAACCCCGGAGAGGGGAGUGAAAUAGAACCUGAAACCGUGUGCGUACAAGCAGUAGGAGCUCCGCAAGGAGUGACUGCGUACCUUUUGUAUAAUGGGUCAGCGACUUACUGUUCGUGGCAAGCUUAACCGUAUAGGGGAGGCGAAGGGAAACCGAGUCUGAUAAGGGCGCAUAGUCGCGGGCAGUAGACCCGAAACCGGGUGAUCUAGUCAUGCCCAGGGUGAAGGUGCGGUAACACGCACUGGAGGCCCGAACCCACUCCCGUUGCAAAGGUAGGGGAUGAGGUGUGAUUAGGAGUGAAAAGCUAAUCGAACCCGGAGAUAGCUGGUUCUCCUCGAAAGCUAUUUAGGUAGCGCCUCAUAUGUAUCCUCUCGGGGGUAGAGCACUGUUAUGGCUAGGGGGUCAUCGCGACUUACCAAACCAUUGCAAACUCCGAAUACCGAGACGGACUGUAUGGGAGACACACGGCGGGUGCUAACGUCCGUCGUGAAAAGGGAAACAACCCAGACCCACAGCUAAGGUCCCAAAUUUUGUGCUAAGUGGAAAACCAUGUGGAAAGGCACAGACAGCCAGGAGGUUGGCUUAGAAGCAGCCACCCUUUAAAGAAAGCGUAAUAGCUCACUGGUCGAGUCGGUCUGCGGGGAAGAUUUAACGGGGCUAAGCACAG
rnacentral:rRNA from 1 species